GGCAGGCUUAACACAUGCAAGUCGAGCGGAGUGAUGGUGCUUGCACUAUCACUUAGCGGCGGACGGGUGAGUAAUGCUUAGGAAUCUGCCUAUUAGUGGGGGACAACAUCUCGAAAGGGAUGCUAAUACCGCAUACGUCNUACGGGAGAAAGCAGGGGAUCACUUGUGACCUUGCGCUAAUAGAUGAGCCUAAGUCGGAUUAGCUAGUUGGUGGGGUAAAGGCCUACCAAGGCGACGAUCUGUAGCGGGUCUGAGAGGAUGAUCCGCCACACUGGGACUGAGACACGGCCCAGACUCCUACGGGAGGCAGCAGUGGGGAAUAUUGGACAAUGGGGGGAACCCUGAUCCAGCCAUGCCGCGUGUGUGAAGAAGGCCUUAUGGUUGUAAAGCACUUUAAGCGAGGAGGAGGCUUACCUAGUUAAUACCUGGGAUAAGUGGACGUUACUCGCAGAAUAAGCACCGGCUAACUCUGUGCCAGCAGCCGCGGUAAUACAGAGGGUGCAAGCGUUAAUCGGAUUUACUGGGCGUAAAGCGCGCGUAGGCGGCCAAUUAAGUCAAAUGUGAAAUCCCCGAGCUUAACUUGGGAAUUGCAUUCGAUACUGGUUGGCUAGAGUGUGGGAGAGGAUGGUAGAAUUCCAGGUGUAGCGGUGAAAUGCGUAGAGAUCUGGAGGAAUACCGAUGGCGAAGGCAGCCAUCUGGCCUAACACUGACGCUGAGGUGCGAAAGCAUGGGGAGCAAACAGGAUUAGAUACCCUGGUAGUCCAUGCCGUAAACGAUGUCUACUAGCCGUUGGGGCCUUUGAGGCUUUAGUGGCGCAGCUAACGCGAUAAGUAGACCGCCUGGGGAGUACGGUCGCAAGACUAAAACUCAAAUGAAUUGACGGGGGCCCGCACAAGCGGUGGAGCAUGUGGUUUAAUUCGAUGCAACGCGAAGAACCUUACCUGGCCUUGACAUAGUAGAAACUUUCCAGAGAUGGAUUGGUGCCUUCGGGAAUCUACAUACAGGUGCUG
rnacentral:rRNA from 1 species